rnacentral:rRNA from 1 species
AGCGAACGCUGGCGGCAGGCUUAACACAUGCAAGUCGAGCGGCCGUAGCAAUACGGCAGCGGCAGACGGGAGAGUAACACGUGGGAACGUACCCUUCAGUUCGGAACAACCAAGGGAAACUUUGGCUAAUACCGAAUACGUCCGUAAGGAGAAAGAUUUAUCGCUGAAGGAUCGGCCCGCGUCUGAUUAGCUAGUUGGUGAGGUGACGGCUCAACAAGGCGACGGUCAGUAGCUGGUCUGAGAGGAUGAUCGGCCUCACGGGGACUGAGACACUGGCCAGACUCCUACGGGAGGCAGCAGUGGGGAAUAUUGGACAAUGGGCGCAAGCCUGAUCCAGCCAUGCCGCGUGGAUGAUGAAGGCCUUAGGGUUGUAAAGUCCUUUUAACGGGGAAGAUAAUGACGGUACCCGUAGAAUAAGCCCCGGCUAACUUCGUGCCAGCAGCCGCCGUAAAAC